GUGGUUUGUUAAGUCAGAUGUGAAAGCCCGGGGCUCAACCUCGGAAUUGCAUUUGAAACUGGCAGACUAGAGUACUGUAGAGGGGGGUAGAAUUUCAGGUGUAGCGGUGAAAUGCGUAGAGAUCUGAAGGAAUACCGGUGGCGAAGGCGGCCCCCUGGACAGAUACUGACACUCAGAUGCGAAAGCGUGGGGAGCAAACAGGAUUAGAUACCCUGGUAGUCCACGCCGUAAACGAUGUCUACUUGGAGG
rnacentral:rRNA from 1 species